rnacentral:rRNA from 1 species
UACGUAGGGAGCAAGCGUUGUCCGGAAUCAUUGGGCGUAAAGUGCGCGUAGGCGGCCCGAUAAGUCCGCUGUAAAAGUCAACGGCUCAACUGUUGAAAGCCGGUGGAUACUGUCGGGCUAGAGUACGGAAGAGGCAAGCGGAAUUCCUGGUGUAGCGGUGGAAUGCGCAGAUAUCAGGAGGAACACCGGUGGCGAAGGCGGGUCUCUGGGCAGUAACUGACGCUGAGGAGCGAAAGCGUGGGGAGCGAACAGG